GAUGAACGCUGGCGGCGUGCCUAAUACAUGCAAGUCGAGCGGUAAGGCCCUUCGGGGUACACGAGCGGCGGACGGCUGAGUAACACGUAGGAACAUACCCCAAAGUGAGGGAUAAGCACCAGAAAUGGUGUCUAAUACCGCAUGUGCUCUAAGGAGUAAAGCUUCGGCGCUUUGGGAAUGGCCUGCGACCGAUUUGCUUGUUGGUGAGGUAAUAGCUCACCAAGGCGACGAUCGGUAGCUGGUCGGAGAGGAUGAUCAGCCAGACUGGGACUGAGACACGGCCCAGACUCCUACGGGAGGCAGCAGUAGGGAAUUUUCCACAAUGGGCGAAAGCCUGAUGGAGCAACGCCGCGUGCAGGAUGAAGGCCUUAGGGUUGUAAACUGCUUUUAUAUGUGACGAUUAUGACGGUAGCAUAUGAAUAAGGAUCGGCUAACUCCGUGCCAGCAGCCGCAGUAAGAC
rnacentral:rRNA from 1 species